AUACCGAGGGUGCAAGCGUUAAUCGGAUUUACUGGGCGUAAAGCGCGCGUAGGCGGCUAAUUAAGUCAAAUGUGAAAUCCCCGAGCUUAACUUGGGAAUUGCAUUCGAUACUGGUUAGCUAGAGUGUGGGAGAGGAUGGUAGAAUUCCAGGUGUAGCGGUGAAAUGCGUAGAGAUCUGGAGGAAUACCGAUGGCGAAGGCAGCCAUCUGGCCUAACACUGACGCUGAGGUGCGAAAGCAUGGGGAGCAAACAGGAUUAGAUACCCCAGUAGUCC
rnacentral:rRNA from 1 species